GACGAACGCUGGCGGCGUGCUUAACACAUGCAAGUCGAACGGUAAGGCCCUUCGGGGUACACGAGUGGCGAACGGGUGAGUAACACGUGGGUGAUCUGCCCUGCACUUCGGGAUAAGCCUGGGAAACUGGGUCUAAUACCGGAUAGGACCACUGCCUGCAUGGGUGGUGGUGGAAAGCUUUUGCGGUGUGGGAUGGGCCCGCGGCCUAUCAGCUUGUUGGUGGGGUGAUGGCCUACCAAGGCGAAGACGGGUAGCGGGCCUGAGAGGGUGACGGGCCACACUGGGAAUGAGAUACGGCCCAGACUCCUACGGGAGGCAGCAGUGGGGAAUAUUGCACGGUGGGCGCAAGCCUGAUGCAGCGACGCCGCGUGAGGGAUGACGGCCUUCGGGUUGUAAACCUCUUUCAGCACCGACGAAGCGCAAGUGACGGUAGGUGCAGAAGAAGGACCGGCCAACUACGUGCCAGCCGCCGCCGUAA
rnacentral:rRNA from 1 species